rnacentral:tRNA from 1 species
UGGCUCAGAGGUUAAGAGCACUGCUUGCUCUAGCAGAGGUCCUGAGUUCAAUUCUCAG